GUGCCCCCGAGGUGCUCAUGGCCGGUAGUGGCCUUUCCCCCGGCCUGCUCGCUGGUAGUGUGCGGAAACCUGCCCCCGGCGUGGGUACAAAGCCUUGUCAGUCCUACAGUUUGGUUGUAUAUGAGCAAGAAGGAGUUUUCAUUCACUCCUCCUGUGGCAAAAAUGAUGACCAAGACAGCUUAAUAGCAGGAACACUGCGUGUCAUAGAAAAGGAAAAUGAAGUGGUAGUAGACUGGAGACCAUUGGAUGAGACUUUGGAUACUUCUAAUAUUCUCUAUGCUGGAAAGGAUUCUAGUUCUGUUGUGGAGUGGACUCAAAGUCCAAAAGAAAAAUGCUCGCGAGGAGCAGACCGUCCAAGUAGUUAUGAAGCAGAAUGGGACAUGGUCACCACAGUCUCUUUUAAGAAGAAACCUCAUUCAAAUGGAGAUGCUGCAACUCAUGCAAACGGAGAAAGCAAGUGGUCGUUCCUGUUCAGUUUGUCAGAUCUGAAAUCAAUCAAACAAAACAAAGAAGGCAUGGGAUGGUCUUAUUUGGUAUUCUGUCUGAAGGAUGAUGUGAAGCUUCCAGCUCUUCACUUUCAUCAUGGAGAUAGCAAACCAUUGAUUAAAUGUAUUGAAAAGCAUGUUGCACUGAAUGAAUCUCCACAUGAUGAACGGGUUCUUCUUGUGAAGACUCAGAAGUCUCUGUCUCAGUCUUUUGAAAAUCUCUUUGAUGAACCAUCAUAUGGCUUAUUACAAAAAUGGAAGAAAGAUCCAUACGUAGUAACAAUGGGAAAAUUUUCCAAAGUCACCAACUAUAUUGUUGGUAGUUUACGUUCAAGUGAUCCAUCAAAUCAGAGGCGACCACCAUCAGAAAUGGCAGACUUUCUCAAUGAUACCAUUCCAGGGCUGAAGAUAAAUCAGCAGGAAGAACCAGGAUUUGAAGUCAUUACACGAAUCGACCUAGGGAAACAGCCUGAAGUCAGCAGAAGAGAGCCUGUGUCAGCUGAAGAAUGGGCUAAGAAUAUGGACUCUGAAGGAAGAAUUUUAGAUGUUGACUACAUAAAGCGACUGAUAUUCAAAGGGGGUCUCUGCCAUACUUUAAGAAAAGAGGCCUGGAAAUUUCUUUUGGGGUAUUUUCCUUGGAAUAGCACUAAAGAAGAGAGAGCAAGUCUGCAAAAAAGGAAAACGGAUGAAUAUUUCAGGAUGAAACUGCAGUGGAAAUCUGUCAGUGAGGAACAGGAAAAGCGAAAUUCAAGAUUAAGAGAUUACCGCAGCCUUAUAGAAAAAGACGUUAACAGGACAGACCGAACAAAUAAGUUCUAUGAAGGCGAAGAUAAUCCAGGACUGAUUUUACUUCAUGAUAUUUUGAUGACCUAUUGCAUGUAUGAUUUUGACUUAGGUUAUGUGCAGGGGAUGAGCGACUUGCUGUCACCUGUCUUGUAUGUUAUGGAGAAUGAAGUAGAUGCCUUUUGGUGCUUUGUGUCAUACAUGGAUCAAAUGCAUCAGAAUUUUGAAGAACAGAUGCAGGGUAUGAAGACACAACUAAUUCAGCUGAGUCAUUUGCUUCGUUUACUAGACAGCGGAUUUUGCAGUUAUUUAGAAUCUCAAGACUCAGGCUACCUUUAUUUUUGCUUCCGGUGGCUUCUUAUCAGAUUUAAAAGGGAAUUUAGUUUUCAAGAUAUUCUUCGACUCUGGGAGGGUUUUUGUAUUUUAACAGGUCAUGUGGACGGAAUUGCCUUGUCAGAAUUUUCAUCUUCUCCUUUGUUGUGCUAUCCUAGAGUCUGAAAAACAGCAAAUAAUGGACAAGCACUAUGGCUUUAAUGAAAUAUUAAAGCAUAUCAAUGAACUGUCUAUGAAAAUUGAUGUGGAAUAUAUACUCUGCAAAGCAGAAGCAAUUUCUAUGCAGAUGAUGAAUUGCAAGGAAUUGCCUCAAACAGUCAGUGAGAUCCUGGGGAUAGAGAACAGUUCAGUAACACCGGAUUCAGAUACUGGAGAGGAUGAAAGUGGAGCUGAGUUGAGUUGUCCGACGUCGCUGUAUCAGAGUAUCUCAACCCCUGUAAUUGCUGCCAAUGGGACAAGGGACGGCGCUCAACAGACGGCUGAGACGCAGAGCCUCACUCCUGCAUAAUUACACUCGGUCACCUUGGAGAAAGACUUCUACUGAGCACGUUUCGGUCAAGCACUUGAGAGAUGGAUAUUUAAAUCUGGUGUUGAUUAAGCUUUAAGGUUGUAAAGAAAAUCUGUACUGUAAUGCUUUUGCAUUAAAGCUUUACAACAUGACUCAACUUAACUAUUUUUGUAGUUUCUUCUACCAAAAUAGCCUUUUGUUUUCAAUAACAUUCCUUAAUAUUUUUGUAGCCAAGUGCAUUUUCUUUUUGCUGGUAAACUGGAAAUGGAUGGUGAUUAAGAAUGAAAGAAAUUUCUGCAUUUGCUGUGCUUUCACACAUACUGAUCUAAGACAAUGUGAUCUCUUUGAUUUGAGCAGAUUCACAAUAUGCCAGCUGAAGCUGCUGUACAAAAUUUUCAAGCUGAAGUGAUGCUGAUGUGCUAAAGGAGGAUUCUUUUGUAAAUGGAUUUUUUCCUAUCUCAAAUGUUUACAAAAAUACUUCUAAGUAUUUGUUGCUGGUUGAAUGUAGAUUUGAAAUGGACAUUCAUACUUGCACAGUUUAAUGUCCAAAUACUGAAUUUUGUGUAAUUGGGAGUGGAUGAACAGUAUAUUUUUACAUUAACAUAUCUUCACUUUAUAUAUACAUAUAUAUAUAUUUACACAUAUACACACACUAUAUACACAAAUGUUUGUGAAUACUAAAAAGGAUAGUUGUAUUUUCAAUAUCUGAAUAAACUUGACUGUUCAUUCAUAUGAAUCAGUUUUACCAAAUUAAUGCACAGCUCCAAACUGGGCUCUUUUUCAAAACUUUUCUAACUGAAGGUAACUUUCAUGUGAAUAUAUUCAGUCCUACACGUGAUGUAAUUUUGCAAUUGAUAUCUUGCAAACUUUACUAAUGUUCAUAUUUGCUAGUAUAUUAACUGAUCAAUUAACUACUUACACUGUUUUUAUGGCAACAUUAUUUGGAAAAUUAAUAAGCAGGUUGUAAAAAAGCCAACCCACAAACCACACACCAAAAUAGUAAUCACAAAUAAUACUAAUGCAUUUUUUGUAUUUGCAAAAGACAGUGAGUUUAUUCCAUGCCACGCUGAUGUCCUUUGACGUUAUGUGAAUUUUAACAUAACUGAUUAAGUGUAUUCAUUAUUUGGUAACUAUUGUACAUAUAUAAAAUAAAAGUCAAAGCUGA